GCCAGCCGCCGCGGUAAUACCGGCGGCUCGAGUGGUGGCCACUUUUAUUGGGCUUAAAGCGUUCGUAGCUGGGUUGUUAAGUCUCUUGGGAAAUCUGGCGGCUUAACCGUCAGGCGUCUAAGGGAUACUGGCAAUCUUGGAACCGGGAGAGGUGAGGGGUACUUCGGGGGUAGGAGUGAA
rnacentral:rRNA from 1 species